CAUGGAUCCUAGUCAGAUUCACUUCUGCUGAGCCACAAGGGCAACUCCUCGAGCUUCUUUCUUAAGGACACGAUACCAUCCCCCUCUCGCCUCUCCUACCCUGCUCCCACCCCCAGACCCCCCUGGGUUAGUCUCCCCAGCAGACACUGACGGCCAGAAGGAACCAGAAAGAGCGCAGUCGCCCAAGCGCCAGUUCCGCGGGCCACACCCAAGGCUCUUCUGCCAGCAGUGUGAUGAGCUGAGAAAGGUCAUGCUUGACAAGCUCUGCUCCAAAGGCUACUUACCUGGGAUCCGCCACUUCCGCUUAGGCCAAAUACAAAGUCCUGAAUUUUGAAACUGCAUACUCAAUGCCUCAGAAGCAUUUGAAACGGAAUUUCUGAAACUAUGUGGGUACAUACGGCUGCACGUGGCGUGUCGGUCCCUAACCUCUGCAUCUGACAGCCAAUUUAGUAGCCUCCGCAGUUCAAAGAGCCCACACGGAUGGCUGGCUUUGCCACCCUAGGGCGGUUAACGUUUAGGAACAAAGGACCACACCUUCCAGGUUACAGGACGCCAACAGUCCCACGGACCGUGACGCGUACCCAGGGGGACAUGCAGCUGGAAGGACACUGCCACUGCUGCCACAGAGAAGCCAAGGUCUCCAGGCCGGCACUCGGCUGAACUGCGUUUACGACUCACACCAAGCUCGAAGCGCCAUCUCAUCCAUCGUCUCAACUGGAAUGGGAAAGAAAACUCCGCCCACAGCUAGGAAGGAUCUUAAGGACUCAGUCAAACACAGCAGUUUCCCCUGGAGGCGGAAGCCUCCGGAAGCAGCCAGUCUGAGCAGAGGGAGGCCCCGACACCAGCAGCCACAGACCCCAGGCAGGGGAGGCGCUUGGGGUGGGAGCCCCCGACCCAGAGGCCCGGGGCCUCCCGGGAAUGAUCACAGCUCCUGAACCACCACUAACCUGACCACAGGAAAAGGAGCAACCUGCACCUGGCCUUCCCCUCCGGCGGGAACACAAAACCCAAACCAGGGAAAAGCUGCAAGUUCUCUGAACCCUGGGGGCCGAGGAGUCUGAAGGGCCUCCGGUCCUGCGCCUUUUGACCAAAAAACCACAAAAACUCACAAGAGUCCCUCCCCCCGAACUCCCGAACCCCAAAGAAAACAGAACCUCCUUCCCCUUGCUGGAAAAAAACAUAAGCAAAUCGCAUUCGACAUAAAAGAUCUUGGCUUAUGUGUCAAGAGGCACUUCUGCCAACGCUGCUGGCGCCCUCAGCCCGCAGUUCAUGGUAACUGGCCAGGCUCGUGGAUAUUUUAUUUAGUGCACAGAAUCUCAAUCAAAGUGCUACAAACUGCUUCU